UACGUAGGGGGCAAGCGUUGUCCGGAUUUAUUGGGCGUAAAGAGCGUGUAGGCGGCCAGGUAGGUCCGCUGUGAAAACUCGAGGCUCAACCUCGAGAUGUCGGCGGAAACCAUCUGGCUAGAGUCCGGAAGAGGAGAGUGGAAUUCCUGGUGUAGCGGUGAAAUGCGCAGAUAUCAGGAAGAACACCCGUGGCGAAGGCGGUUCUCUGGGACGGUACUGACGCUGAGACGCGAAAGCGUGGGGAGCGAACAGG
rnacentral:rRNA from 1 species